CGCGAGUCGCCGGGUCUUGACAGGCCCGCGGGCGCAAUGAAAGUGAAAGCCGAGAGGCUUCGGCCGCACCGGCGGCCCGUUCCGGAAGACUCGUCUUCGGGGCGGAGCCGGAGCGCGCGCGUCGGGACCCGAAAGAUGGUGAACUAUGCCCGGGCAGGGCGAAGUCAGAGGAAACUCUGAUGGAGGCCCGCAGCGGUUCUGACGUGCAAAUCGAUCGUCGGACCUGGGUAUAGGGGCGAAAGACCUAUCGAACCGUCUAGUAGCUGGUUCCCUCCGAAGUUUCCCUCAGGAUAGCUGGCGCUCGGAGGAGACGGUCUCAUCCGGUAAAGCGAAUGACUAGAGGGCUCGGGGCCGAAACGACCUCGACCUAUUCUCAAACUUUAAAUGGGUGAGGAGGCCCGCCUGCGGGAGCGAGGCGGGGCCCCUUCGGACGAGAGCGCCCAGUGGGCCACUUUUGGUAAGCAGAACUGGC
rnacentral:rRNA from 1 species